rnacentral:misc_RNA from 1 species
CGGAAGCCUUACGUCGCCAAAAUAUUUUGUGUGAAAUAAUAAACGUUAGGCCUCCAAAAGAUAUUCAAUAAUUCCUGAUCAUUUAAAUUUUUAGAUAAUUAAUGUCUUUGCACGUUUGUCAACUUUUAGUCUAAAAAAAAACAAAAAAACGAAUGCCUCAUUUGUCCUCAAAUUAAAUGCAAAAGCGGUAAAUUGAAAACUUUAUUUUGUGACUUAAGGUCUCUGUGCUUGAAGAUUAUGAUUAGAAACUAAAAUCCUGAAAAUGCAAGUCUCCCUUGAUGUCCAUGGAAAAGAGUCAGGAAAAAUAUGGCACAGAAAGCCUACUCCUGGAUCAUGUGAUGGACAUGUGUGUACAAUAUGUAACCUGAUGUCCAGUGCCAUAUCUCUGCCUUCGAGGAAGAUCAGGUUUUUGCAAGCAGCAUUUGAUGCGACUGGGGAUUCUUUCAUAGCUGCUGAUUAUCAAGGGAAUAUAUUUGUUUUUGAUCUUGACAGAAACAGGUUUGCCCAAGUGCAGAGGAUAGGCACUCCAUGUACAGCUAUAGCUUUUAAUCUGCGCAGAAAAACAGAAUACCUAGUAGCACUGGCAGACUGCACCAUUAAAUGUUUUGAUACAGAUACCAAAGAGUUGGUUGCAUGGAUGAAAGGUCACAGCUCUCCUAUACAUACUAUCAGUGUACAUGCCUCAGGACGUUAUGCUAUCACAUGUUCAGCAGACACCGCACAGUUGUGGGAUUUAGACACAUUCUUACGUAAACGGAAGCUCAGCAUCAAAGAAAAUGUUGGAAUAACAAAGGUGUUCUUCCUUCCUCUGAGCAACACAAUUAUUACCUGCUUCAAGGAUGACUCUAUAUUUGCUUGGGAGUCCGACACACUUGUCUGUAAAUACCAGCUUCCAAUACCUGAUGAGGAGGAGACACCACAUUACAAGGAUUUCUCCGUCUCCAGGGAUGGUAGAAUAUUAGUAGCAGGAAGUAGAUCAAGGUUCCUACAUUUAUGGACAUUAGAUACCAAGACACUACACAAGGUUGUUCAACUACCAACUAAGGUGAAGGUCGUCAAGCAGCUAGAGUUCUUAGCUGAUAGUUUUGACGGAGGGGCUAGUCAGGUGUUAUGUGUUCUGGCCCAGGAUGGCAUUUUACGUGCUGUAAGCAUUUCCACUUGCAAGCUGCUUUUUGACCUAGGGAGUAUAGAAAAUAGAAUCAACAGCUUCAUAUUAGGUCCCACAGGUCGACAUAUUGUUAGUGUACAUGAAGAUGGAGAUAUGAAAGUUUGGAGUGUUGCUGCUCUAACUCAACAGUUAAAUCAACCUCCACCUCCGAUGGUGCGUGUCAUUGAGAGCAACAAGAUGGCCGACUCCGCUGACCAAUCAGCUGUGGCCAGAUCACUCACGAAGGUGCCAACAGGAAGGAGAAGCAAAAGGAAAACUGGACAAUCAAAGUCUGACGGUAGUAUUGGAGAGGGACUGAAUAAGGAUAAACUAUUCAGCAUUCUGAGGGGAUAUGGGGAAUAUCCAGCCAAAUACAGAGGGUUUAUCUGGAGAUGUCUGUUAAAACUACCAGAAAACCAUACAGCUUAUGCUGCCCUGGUAGACAAAGGAACACACUCAAUGUAUGCCAACAUCCACCAACAAUAUCCAAUCAAAAGUAGAAAGUUGCUGAGAAUCUUACAAAGGACUUUAUCAUGUAUAGCCCAUUGGUCUCCUAUUUUUGGUGAGACACAGUUCCUGCCCCUCAUGGCAUUCCCAUUUGUGAAGCUCUUCCAAAACAACCAACUUGUGUGCUUUGAGAUUAUUGCAUCCAUAUUAGUAAACUGGUGUCAACACUGGUUUGAGUUCUUUCCGAACCCUCCCAUUAACAUGCUGGCAAUGGUAGAGAAUCUAUUAGGUCACCAUGACAAACAUUUACUUCAGCACUUUGUCAAAUAUGGAGUCACCUCACAGAUUUAUGCCUGGCCACUUCUGGAGACUGUGAUGUCAGAGGUGCUUACAAAAGAUGAGUGGCUGAUGGUGUGGGAUAAUAUAUUUAGUAACCCCCCUGGUUACAUGUUACUGCUCAUUGUGGCUUACUGCAUAUGUAACAGAGGGCCACUCAUGAACUGCACUGAGUUGGAUGAUUUCAAAUACUUCUUCCACCAUCGCAAUGCAGUAGAUGUGCGAGAGGUUAUAGAGGAAGCAUACAGACUUCAAAAGGGAACACCAAAUGAUGUCAACCCAGAAGUGAAAUUGGAAGACUUUCAAUCACUCACUAAAGGCCAAUAUCCUGUGUUUAACAAGUUCCCAAAGUUUAUUGUGGACUAUCAGGUCAGGGAACGAGAGAAGAUACAGAAGGAAGAGGAAGAAUACCUCAGACAAAGACAGUUAACAUUGGAGCUUCAUCGUGAGGCAGAGAAACACAGGAGGGAGGAAGGAAACUGGCAGAGACAGCAAGAGAUUUUACAACAAGCAGAGGAAAGACGUAAACACAUCUUGGCUGAGGAAGAGCAGAAACUGCAGGACCAGAGAACAAGGAUGCAAGCAUUGAACCGAGAGGUGCAACUUAAGGAACUUGAAUUAUUAGAUGCCACACGCAGGAAAGCAAUGCAUCAGCAGACAAAGCAGGCACAGAAACAACUGAGAAAUCUGGAUGAAGAAAUACUCAAAAAAGUUGCUAUGAGAGAUGUUGAGACAGAAGCUGCCGUAACAGAUGCCGAAGUCAAGAAUCUGGAGUUGCAGCUGCAGAAGAAAUGUUUGGAACAGGAACUGCUGAGAAAGCAAGAACAGUCAAUACUGAAACACAACAUGACAACUGAUGCACAUCGGAAAGUGAGAGAGUUUGAGGAUAAACUGCUCAAGGAAACAGUCAAAGAAGAAAGCAAAAGAAAUAGGAAUGAUAGAAAGACUGCAGUAGAAAGACUUGCUAGGUCACAACAUGAGCAACAGGACAGUGAACUGGCAUCACAGUUACAAAGAAGACACCUGGCAGAUGAUCUAGAUGCUGCACAGAGGAUAAAACAGAUGGAGGAAAUGCAAAGUUUCAACCAGACCAUAGAACAAGAGAUCAAUGACUUGAUGGGAGACUUAGAGAAUAUUCAGGACACUAUCUCCCCUGCUAAGUUUAAUAACAAAAUAAAAGAUCGUGUUAAAGAUCAAAUAGGAACAAGUGAAUCCAACAAAUGUUUGAAUGACAGCCCCUCUGACACAUCUGUACAAUUUUCACUGGAUAGAGGGCGUCACAGAAUGGACACAAGGGAACAAGAUUUGAUGGCCGAUGUUCGAAGAUUAAGAGAAAAGUUAGCACAUGACAGUAGAAUGAUGAGACCCCCUCUGGUUGGACAAUAAAUGUGUUUUGUUUGAUCUUGCACCGAGCCUUUUCCGUUGAAUAUAAUUUCUCAGCUAGCUUGAGCAGUUUCACUGUAUGAAUACCCAGAACAUAUGAUCUCAUACUACACUUUAGUGCCUAAACUAUAUUUUGUGCCUUAUAACAUAGAAAAUUCUGGAGAAUCAUAUUGAACCUUGAAUUGACUAAAGUUCACCUCGUCAAUAUUAAUUAUUAAAUACAGUAAAACCCGAAACUACUCUGUCAGUGAAUCACUGUUCUGUAACCAUUAACUUAAUAUAAAAUGAAUUUGUGUAAGUGGAAUACCCUUAAAUGGUAGAACAUUAUUGUGAGAUACAAAAG